rnacentral:rRNA from 1 species
UACGGAGGGAGCUAGCGUUGUUCGGAAUUACUGGGCGUAAAGCGCGCGUAGGCGGCUUUGUAAGUUAGAGGUGAAAGCCCGGAGCUCAACUCCGGAACUGCCUUUAAAACUGCAUCGCUUGAAUCCAGGAGAGGUGAGUGGAAUUCCGAGUGUAGAGGUGAAAUUCGUAGAUAUUCGGAGGAACACCAGAAGCGAAGGCGGCUCACUGGCCCGAUACUGACGCUGAGGCGCGAAAGCGUGGGGAGCAAACAGG